UCCACUUUAAUCCAUCAGUUCCAUUUCUGAUAAAUGUCCCAGUGCUGGAGUCACCAUGUAGCCGCAGUGCCCUGCAGAGGUUAGCUGCUAGAUCAGGGCAGCCAGGGCAAGCAUCUGGUGGGCUGGAGCAAGCCUGGACCCUCAACUUGCCGUGACUCCCCACCCCCUUCCCAGCACUUUGCAUGGUGGUAAUUUUGCAGUUUCUGCCUCUGGCAGGAAAACCCAACACGAUGAUAGCCCCUUGCAGGCCACAGUCAGCCCGGCCCCAGGAGAGAGACCCGUGGAGCCCUAUGUCUCAGCAGCAGAUCCUGAGCCAGAGAAGGCCAUCAAUUAUUCAGCUCCUGCGUCUCGGCCUCCUCCGUUAGUACCUCGUAAAGCCGGGAAGAUAAAUCUCUCCGCUUGCUCCAUGGCGCCGACAGGGAGCAGGGCGGCACCAGGACUGUGACAGGCCCCGGCUGGGCCCCGGUUUCCCGAGCCAGCACAGGCGGCCUGCAAGGCUUCUCUGCUAUUAAAUCCAUAAUUCAGCGGCAACACAGCUGGAUCCUGGCACACAGGGUCCCUGUGAUGAGGAGGGGCUGCCCCUGCCAGAAUGCACCAGACAGAG